rnacentral:rRNA from 1 species
UACGGAGGGUGCAAGCGUUGUUCGGAAUUAUUGGGCGUAAAGGGCGCGUAGGCGGUGCGGUAAGUCACCUGUGAAACCUCUGGGCUUAACUCAGAGCCUGCAGGCGAAACUGCCGUGCUUGAGUGUGGGAGAGGUGCGUGGAAUUCCCGGCGUAGCGGUGAAAUGCGUAGAUAUCGGGAGGAACACCUGUGGCGAAAGCGGCGCACUGGACCACAACUGACGCUGAGGCGCGAAAGCUAGGGGAGCAAACAGG